rnacentral:rRNA from 1 species
UGGGGAAUAUUGGACAAUGGGCGCAAGCCUGAUCCAGCAAUGCCGCGUGUGUGAAGAAGGCCUUCGGGUUGUAAAGCACUUUUAUCAGGAGCGAAACGCUGUCGGCUAAUACCCGGCGGAACUGACGGUACCUGAGGAAUAAGCACCGGCUAACUUCGUGCCAGCAGCCGCGGUAAUACGAAGGGUGCAAGCGUUAACCGGAAUUACUGGGCGUAAAGCGUGCGUAGGCGGUUUCUUAAGUCUGCUGUGAAAUCCCCGGGCUCAACCUGGGAAUGGCAGUGGAUACUGGGAGGCUGAGUGUGUCAGAGGGGUGGUGGAAUUCCCGGUGUAGCGGUGAAAUGCGUAGAGAUCGGGAGGAACAUCAGUGGCGAAGGCGGCCACCUGGGACAACACUGACGCUGAGGCACGAAAAGCGUGGGGAGCAAACAGGAUUAGAUACCCUGGUAGUCCACGCCCUAAAACGAUGCGAACUGGAUGUUGGUCUCAACUCGGAGAUCAGUGUCGAAGCUAACGCGUUAAGUUCGCCGCCUGGGGAGUACGGUCGUAAGACUG